UCCCAGACUCCUACGGGAGGCAGCAGUGGGGAAUAUUGCACAAUGGGGGGAACCCUGAUGCAGCGACGCCGCGUGAGUGAAGAAGUAAUUCGUUAUGUAAAGCUCUAUCAGCAGGGAAGAAAAUGACGGUACCUGAGUAAGAAGCCCCGGCUAACUACGUGCCAGCAGCCGCGGUAAUACGUAGGGGGCAAGCGUUAUCCGGAUUUACUGGGUGUAAAGGGAGCGUAGACGGCGCUGCAAGUCCGGAGUGAAAGCCCAUGGCUUAACCAUGGUACUGCUCUGGAAACUGUGGAGCUUGAGUGCGGGAGGGGCAGGCGGAAUUCCUAGUGUAGCGGUGAAAUGCGUAGAUAUUAGGAGGAACACCGGCGGCGAAGGCGGCCUGCUGGACCGUAACUGACGUUGAGGCUCGAAAGCGUGGGGAGCAAACAGGAUUAGAUACCCGGGUA
rnacentral:rRNA from 1 species